GGGCCCAUAGCUCAGCUGGAAGAGCCACCGGCUCAUAACCGGCAGGUCCCUGGUUCGAACCCAGGUGGGCCCACCA
rnacentral:tRNA from 1 species